rnacentral:tRNA from 1 species
CGCUAAGAAGCUAAACAGGGGAUAGCGUUAGCCUUUUAAGCUAAAAACUGGUGACUCCCGCCCACCCCUAGCGA